CCUACGGGGUGCAGCAGUGAGGAAUAUUGGUCAAUGGACGAGAGUCUGAACCAGCCAAGUAGCGUGAAGGAUGACUGCCCUAUGGGUUGUAAACUUCUUUUAUAUGGGAAUAAAAUGUUCCACGUGUGGGAUUUUGUAUGUACCAUAUGAAUAAGGAUCGGCUAACUCCGUGCCAGCAGCCGCGGUACUACGGAGGAUCCGAGCGUUAUCCGGAUUUAUUGGGUUUAAAGGGAGCGUAGGUGGAUUGUUAAGUCAGUUGUGAAAGUUUGCGGCUCAACCGUAAAAUUGCAGUUGAAACUGGCAGUCGUGAGUACAGUAGAGGUGGGCGGAAUUCGUGGUGUAGCGGUGAAAUGCUUAGAUAUCACGAAGAACUCCGAUUGCGAAGGCAGCUCACUGGACUGCAACUGACACUGAGGCUCGAAAGUGUGGGUAUCAAACAGGAUUAGAUACCCUAGUAGUC
rnacentral:rRNA from 1 species